GACGAACGCUGGCGGCGUGCUUAACACAUGCAAGUCGAACGAAGUGGCGAACGGGUGAGUAACGCGUAAUCAACCUGCCCUUCAGAGGAGAACAACAGUUGGAAACGACUGCUACUACCGCAUACAGAAGGAGGGGAUUGCGUCUGAUUCGCUAGUUGGAGGGGUAACGGCCCACCAAGGCGAUGAUCAGUAGCCGGUCUGACAGGAUGACAGGCCACAUUGGGACGGAGACACUGCCCAGACUCCGACGGGAGGCAGCAGUGGGGAAUCUUCCGCAAUGGACGAAAGUCUGACGGAGCAACGCCGCGUGAGUGAUGACGGCCUUCGGGUUGUAAAGCUCUGUUAAUCGGGGCGCGGUACCGGAAUAGAAAGCCACGGCUAACUACGUGCCAGCAGCCGCGGUAAUAC
rnacentral:rRNA from 1 species